UACGGGGGGGGCAAGCGUUGUUCGGAAUUACUGGGCGUAAAGGGCGCGUAGGCGGUUCGCUAAGUUGAAUGUGAAAACUCUGGGCUUAACCCAGAGCCUGCAUUCAAUACUGGCGGGCUAGAGUUCUGGAGGGGAUAGCGGAAUUCCUGGUGUAGCGGUGGAAUGCGCAGAUAUCAGGAGGAACACCGAUGGCGAAGGCAGGUCUCUGGGCCAUUACUGACACUGAGAAGCGAAAGCAUGGGGAGCGAACAGG
rnacentral:rRNA from 1 species